UACGUAGGGUGCGAGCGUUGUCCGGAAUUACUGGGCGUAAAGAGCUCGUAGGUGGUUUGUCGCGUUGUUCGUGAAAACUCACAGCUCAACUGUGGGCGUGCGGGCGAUACGGGGCAGACUGGAGUACUGCAGGGGAGACUGGAAUUCCUGGUGUAGCGGUGGAAUGCGCAGAUAUCAGGAGGAACACCAGUGGCGAAGGCGGCGAUCUGGGAAGAUACUGACGCUGGAGGUGCGAAAGCGUGGGGAGCAAACAGG
rnacentral:rRNA from 1 species